GACGAACGCUGGCGGCGUGCUUAACACAUGCAAGUCGAACGGAAAGGCCCUGCUUUUGCGGGGUGCUCGAGUGGCGAACGGGUGAGUAACACGCGAGUAACCUGCCCUUGACUUUGGGAUAACUUCAGGAAACUGGGGCUAAUACCGGAUAGGAGCUCCUGCUGCAUGGUGGGGGUUGGAAAGAUUCGGCGGUUGGGGAUGGACUCGCGGCUUAUCAGCUUGAUGGUGGGGUAGUGGCUUACAAAGGCUUUGACGGGUAGCCGGCCUGAGAGGGUGACCGGCCACAAUGGGACUGAGAGACGGAGCAGACUCCUACGGGAGGCAGCAGUCGAGAGUAUUGCGGAAUGGGCGCGAGCGUGAUGCAGCGACGCCGCGUGCGGGAUGCCGGCCUUCGAGUUGUGAACCGCUGUGGCCUGUGACGAAGCGUGAGUGACGGUAAUGGGUAAGGAAGCACCGGCUAACUACGUG
rnacentral:rRNA from 1 species